CCUACGGGAGGCUGCAGUGAGGAAUAUUGGUCAAUGGGCGCGAGCCUGAACCAGCCAAGUAGCGUGAAGGAUGACUGCCCUACGGGUUGUAAACUUCUUUUAUAAAGGAAUAAAGUGAGGCACGUGUGCCUUUUUGUAUGUACUUUAUGAAUAAGGAUCGGCUAACUCCGUGCCAGCAGCCGCGGUAAUACGGAGGAUCCGAGCGUUAUACGGAUUUAUUGGGUUUAAAGGGAGCGUAGAUGGGGUGUUAAGUCAGUUGUGAAAGUCUGCGGCUCAAACGUAAAAUUGCAAUUGAUACUGGUAGUCUUGAGUACAGGUGAGGUAGGCGGAAUUCGUGGUGUAGCGGUGAAAUGCUUAGAUAUCACGAAGAACUCCGAUUGCGAAGGCAGCUUACUAAACUGCAACUGACAUUGAUGCUCGAAAGUGUGGGUAUCAAACAGGAUUAGAUACCCGAGUAGUC
rnacentral:rRNA from 1 species